rnacentral:rRNA from 1 species
AGAGUUUGAUCCUGGCUCAGAUUGAACGCUGGCGGCAGGCCUAACACAUGCAAGUCGAGCGGUAGCACAGAGAGCUUGCUCUCGGGUGACGAGCGGCGGACGGGUGAGUAAUGUCUGGGAAACUGCCUGAUGGAGGGGGAUAACUACUGGAAACGGUAGCUAAUACCGCAUAACGUCGCAAGACCAAAGUGGGGGACCUUCGGGCCUCAUGCCAUCAGAUGUGCCCAGAUGGGAUUAGCUAGUAGGUGGGGUAAUGGCUCACCUAGGCGACGAUCCCUAGCUGGUCUGAGAGGAUGACCAGCCACACUGGAACUGAGACACGGUCCAGACUCCUACGGGAGGCAGCAGUGGGGAAUAUUGCACAAUGGGCGCAAGCCUGAUGCAGCCAUGCCGCGUGUGUGAAGAAGGCCUUCGGGUUGUAAAGCACUUUCAGCGGGGAGGAAGGCGAUAAGGUUAAUAACCUUGUCGAUUGACGUUACCCGCAGAAGAAGCACCGGCUAACUCCGUGCCAGCAGCCGCGGUAAUACGGAGGGUGCAAGCGUUAAUCGGAAUUACUGGGCGUAAAGCGCACGCAGGCGGUCUGUCAAGUCGGAUGUGAAAUCCCCGGGCUCAACCUGGGAACUGCAUUCGAAACUGGCAGGCUAGAGUCUUGUAGAGGGGGGUAGAAUUCCAGGUGUAGCGGUGAAAUGCGUAGAGAUCUGGAGGAAUACCGGUGGCGAAGGCGGCCCCCUGGACAAAGACUGACGCUCAGUGCGAAAGCGUGGGGAGCAAACAGGAUUAGAUACCCUGGUAGUCCACGCCGUAACGAUGUCGAUUUGGAGGUUGUGCCCUUGAGGCGUGGCUUCCGGAGCUAACGCGUUAAAUCGACCGCCUGGGGAGUACGGCCGCAAGGUUAAAACUCAAAUGAAUUGACGGGGGCCCGCACAAGCGGUGGAGCAUGUGGUUUAAUUCGAUGCAACGCGAAGAACCUUACCUGGUCUUGACAUCCACAGAACUUUCCAGAGAUGGAUUGGUGCCUUCGGGAACUGUGAGACAGGUGCUGCAUGGCUGUCGUCAGCUCGUGUUGUGAAAUGUUGGGUUAAGUCCCGCAACGAGCGCAACCCUUAUCCUUUGUUGCCAGCGGUCCGGCCGGGAACUCAAAGGAGACUGCCAGUGAUAAACUGGAGGAAGGUGGGGAUGACGUCAAGUCAUCAUGGCCCUUACGACCAGGGCUACACACGUGCUACAAUGGCAUAUACAAAGAGAAGCGACCUCGCGAGAGCAAGCGGACCUCAUAAAGUAUGUCGUAGUCCGGAUUGGAGUCUGCAACUCGACUCCAUGAAGUCGGAAUCGCUAGUAAUCGUAGAUCAGAAUGCUACGGUGAAUACGUUCCCGGGCCUUGCACACACCGCCCGUC